AGGCUCAGCAUCUCCAGAGAUGAGCUUUCCAAAUACCUGAUAAAGACAGGAAUGUGAGAAGGAAUCAAUGGCAGUAAUUACUAGUGUGAAACCUAAAGGAUGCAUGAGCUAAUACUGCAGGUUUUAUAAUAUUACUAUGCUGUUCUUGCUAUACGCUACUACUUUUAAGAAUUAAUGAAUGCAAAAUGAAACAUAGGAGUUUAGGGCUAGGAGAAGAAGAGAAAAUGGGUCAUAUGUUUGCCAGCCAUCUCUAACAAGCUUUACAAAGUAUUCUGUUACCCUUUGGUAUCAGCAUUGCAGAAGAUAUGAUUUCAGUGUAUCGUGUGCCAGAACCUGGAGUGAGGACACUCACUUGAGACGUAAUAAGUCUGAACACUCGCAGAGUCUCGGCUUCACAGUUCCUUUGCUGGGCCACACUGGCUGAAAUCUGGCCAGCAAUUUUUGUGCUUUCACCAUCCUUCCAGCCCAGGACUUUUACUUGUCGAACUCUCAGUGUAUUUUCUGGGCCCUUUAAUUCAAUCUUGAUGAUGUGAUUAUCCCCUCCUGGAAGUUCACUUGUUACCCAACCAAUGUGCCUAGAAUCCAGAUCAACCUAGCAAACAGAAAAGGGAUAGAAACCUGAUACAGCCAUAUCACUCUCUUAUCAAGGUCCUAGACUUAGCGCUAAUAACUGCAAGCUCAAAUAACAAAGACUUGUACGGAGACUAAGGUUUACUGUGUUAUUUCACACUGACUAUCUUACUUAAGCCUGGUGAGGAUAAGUAAUACUACAGUAGCUAUUAUACAGAUGAAGUGAGGUUAACCCAGGUUGAAGGAUUCUCAGUCAGACAUGGAGCUGAGAAUUAAAAUACAGGUCUGAUUACUUUCCAUGCACAAGUUAUGUUAAGUAAAAUCAUUAAAACAAUUCAUGUGACUGUCCUUUCCCUAACCUGACUGAGGAGAAAUACAAGAUCAGCACGAGGUCCUGUUUUGUGCAUCUUCACAUUUAACCACCAUUUAAAGAUAACCACGUUUUGUUGUUUUUUAAAGAUAGAUAAGCAUAUUUGAUGUGCAGUUACUUAAUAUGUUCUGCUUCUGAAGAAAAAUUAUAUAAUAUGUAACUGCAUAUUUGUGAUUCCUGAUUCCACUGAAAAUGUAACUUUUCAAGGAUUAAAUUUCAAUGCACUAUGAAAUGGUUUUUGACUCUAUUCAGUUGAUAAAAUGAAAAAAUUAAUUGAUAAUGUCAAUUUUCUAGAAAAAUCAUUAAGCAUAAAUACUAUCUCACUGAACAGAAGUAUUUCUCCAAAUUCUUUUAGCCUUUUAAACAAAAUUUAUUAUUUGUUUAAUCCAAAAUUUCAAUUUAUUCUUUCAAUAUGAUUUGAAAAACAAAACAAGUAGUCAACAUAUAUGGGAUAACAGCUUUGAUAAACUUUCACUAACACAAGUGAGUUUAUACAGAAUGCCCAAAUACAACCUAACUUGUUUCUAAAGUUCAUUUGUAAAUUGACUUGCAGCCUGGAUUUAGUUGCACUGUUGUGACAGAUUUUCAGGCUAGAGGACAACAAUCUACAUUUUAACCUGAAGUGUAGGUGUUAAUUGUGAAUGGGAUUUGUGAUGCAUUUUAAGGUGCCCUGAAUCUUUCUUUGUAAGGGAGCAGGAGGCAGAGUAGAGGACUGUAGGUAUAGUACAAUCGAUUGUGACAGGAGAGCAUUUAGGACACUAUCGGCUAUUAGCACAGGGAUGGUUGUAAAUGUUCCUAUAUCUGGACUAUUUGUCAGUUUAAUGUUUUGUAAACAGAUGAGUUCCUAGAAUACUUUGGUAGCAUGCCGAAAUUAGAAUUUAACAGAGGAGGCUGAGAAGAAUUUCUCCCUAGGUAACAUUUAAUGACAAAAUUUUAAUUACCUGUUUUAUUCUGCACAAAUCUUCUACUGCUUUGCCAGUUAAGAAGGUCAUUGAGGUAACUUUAUUCUAAAACAGACAAUGCACAACAAUUAUUCUUCCAUAUUGCUGCUACUGAAUUUAUAAUGAUUUCUUACAGCCUACUGAUAUCACAUCAACUCUUCUGUAUGUCUGUCAUGGAUUCUUCCUAACUGAUCUCACUCCAUCUGCCCAACCAACCACAUUCUUUUUUUUUUUUUUUUAAUUUUUUAAUGUUUAUUUGUUUUUUUUGAGAGAGAGACAGAGUAUGAGUGGGGGAGGGGCAAAGAGAGAGAGGGAGACACAGAAUCUGAAGCAGCCCUCCAGGCUCUGAGCUGUCAGCACACAGCCCAACGUGGGGCUCGAACCCACAAGCUGUGAGAUCAUGACCUGAGCCGAAGUCAGAUGCUUAACUGACUGGGCCACCCAGGUGCUCCCCUUGCCCCUCAAGCAACCACAUUCUUACAACUCCAGUCUUGUCUCGUUCUCACAAAUUCUACCUUCAGUCUCCAUGGGCUCUGAAAGAAAAGCCUGGCAUUCCUUCUUUCUAUCCAAAGUCUAAAGAUUUAAAUUCUAUCUCUAUCAUGAGACUUUCCAACAACUCUGCUUUCACUCUUGUCUCCACUCCCUAACAAACACUCUUGACUAUCACAAUGUACCAAGACUGUCUUACAGCCUUGGAGAAGGACAUAUGAGAAUGAUGGGUUCUGUCCUCUUGACACACUAGGGAAGGAGCAUUAGCAAACAAAAUAAAUGUCAAACAGAAGUUCAGUGUCAUUAGGUACCAAAAAGAUCAUGCUAGUUCUAGAGCCAGAGACCUUAAGGUUGAAUAAGCUUUAUGCAAAGCACAUCAGGAAACAGAUUAACACAUUAAUUCCUUGGAGCAUUGCAUACUUUAAGCGCUCUAGGUCGAUGCAAUUCAAACAACUGCCAUGUAUAAGGCACUGGUGGUAGACAGGCUGGGGACACACAGGUACAUAAGCCUCAAGGAUACACAGAACUUAGAGGAGGUUUCUUAAAAGGAAAGCACAUGUCAGCUUAUCUACUGGGGAUUUUAAAAUGAAUAUUGCUAUGAUUAUCUCCUUAAAAGGGAAAAAUGUCAAACUGAUUGGAAUCAUUGUUCUGAGGGAGAGUAUGUCCUGGCUUAAAAUAUACCAUGAGUCAAAGAUAACUUUGUACUGAACAGUAAGUUCUAGCUAGAAAAAUGUUUUGAUUUAUUACACCUGACUUUCUAGUAAGAUAAAGUAGUUGUACAAAUUGAAACUCUUGGCUCUGAAAAGGAGGUACGCUUAUAUUAGCUACGCCCCUUCUUCUUAUUCACCGCCACGGAAGCACUGCAGCUGCACUUAUGGACAGGAGUUGGGGGUGGCUGCAGAUGGCGAGGAGUGUUCUGACUGCAGACUGGGCUUUUCAGGUUGGCAUUCUAUUGAGGUUACCCAAGACCCAACCCCAUCACUCUGUCUUCCUGGGAAAGGAAAUGUGUGAAUGGGAUAGGAGCAGCUUGGCAACAGAGGGGAUUUAUAAUACUGUAUCUAUUAGCAAGCCACAUCCAUUCUUUUUUCUUUUUUAAGUUUUUACUUAAAAAUUUUUUUUGAUGUUUAUUUUUGAGAGAGAGAGAGAGAGAGACAGAAAGUGAAUGGGGGAGGGGCAGAGAGAGGGAGACACAGAAUCUGAAGCAGGCUCUGAAGCAAGCCACAUCCAUUUUGAGGGAAAAAACUCUAAGGAGUAUCCUUCCCCAGGAAUGGGGGGAGAAGCACGCGAGUUUGGCAGCUGGUGUCUUCUUGGUUCUUAACACUCAAGUAAACAGGACUCUUUUCCCAUUAUUUAGUGCCUUUUGUAAAGGAGUGCUUAAUUCAGUUGAAACAUGUGAACAGGCUAGUGCUAGGGAGAAUACAAAUUAUGAUCAUUUAGGUUAGUUUGGAAACCCCACCACCAUCGUCAAGACAGCUAAGGGUGAAGGCUAGAAAUUGGAAGCUAAUUACAUGAUAAGUCAAAGUGUAUUCAGUGCCAUCAGAGUAAUAGAAAGAAGAACGUAGAGAAGGGAAAGAAUAAUUUUUAUAGAAGAGGUACCGGGAGAGGAUUUCUCUGCUGGUCUUUUGAGAUUUUGGGAGAAUCUGAUAGGCAGAGUUUAAGGGGAGGACUUCCAGGCCAAGAGAAUAGCUUAAACAAGGGUAUGGAGGUAGGCAAUUACAGAGGAGACAUUUAUUCUGCUUAGCUGUAGCCAGGAUGUAUUUGUAAUCACGCUUCUUUUUAGAACUGGUAUUCCAUAGUGCCCCUAGUCCUAUUAAUCUGUUUUUAGACGUAAGAUUUACUUGGGAAGUAUAAAAAUGCUGUUUGGUCAGUGAAAUUCCACAUGAAAAUCUUUUUGCUAAACUUAGAAGGAUAGGGCAUGGUAACUGAAGGUCUGAAAAGAACUAAUGAGCCACAAAUUAAGUUUUCUUUCUUACCCCUAGAUCUCGGGAAUUAUCCACAUGGACAGAUACAUAGCGGGCAUUGAUUCCUUUUACACAGUUGAUGGUGAUGUUCUUAGUUUUGUUUUUAUCCUCAUCUCCUGAUUCCCAAAAGGUUUCUGUAGAACCAUCUGUCAAACUACCAAUCAUGGCGGGUCGGCUUGAAGUUUUUAUGUCAACAAUGCUGGUUAAGUCCUUUAAGCAUAUUACUAUGCAUAAUUCCUACCAGAAACAAAUGUUUUCACAUUAUUACAUGUUUUACAUUAUUACAACACUGAAAUGGAAAUCUUUCACGAUAAUAAAACAAAAAAUGUGAGGUAAGAAAUGAAAUGAAUCAAACUGUUUAUGAGUGACUUUCAGUUUCUGCUUGUAUACAUUGUUGAAUAUUAACAGGGUAACAGAGGACAACUUUCAAUGACUGACCUGACUCAUCGCUUCAAAGCCAGACUGGAUACUGAUGCUAAAACUUUCUUCACUGUCUCCAUCAUCUGAUUUUGACAGAAUAUUGUUAAUGUGAUGAAAGACAUUACUCUGAUGGAGGAACUGGUGAUCAGAUUGCUUGAAUUUCAGACUCCAGCACCUAAAAAGGUAUAAGCAAGGUAUUAAAUAAUUCCUAAGGAAUUCCUGGGAAAGCACUCUGUAGUUAAGAUUUUUAAAAAUCUUAAUAUUCUGGGGAAAAAACAGAAAUAGAAAAAAAAUCAGGGAAUAGUAUCACCGCCUUUUUGUGAACAAUAAAGGUAAUUUCUUUGGAAUAGGGUAAGACCUAAGGAAAGUUCACUCAUUCUACAUAUAGAAAAACUGGAUACAUGAACGUCAAGGGUACAGAAGCAAAAAAGGUAAUAAAUCAAUCUUGCAGACAGACAAGUGUGACCUCAACCAAAACAAGCCUCUCAAAUUUAUUAGUCUUACAAUUCUAUACUAAUUCAUCAGAGUUAUAUAUACUCUGAUAUAUAACACAUCCUGUACUUCAAAAUCUUUUUAGGAGGAAACACAAUCUCCCCUCUACCAGUCUUUAGGGAUGUGGGUAGCCAAAAUUCACUCCAAAAAUCUACAGUUUAUAAAAACCAGUGGAGCAUUUUUUAUACGUGCGGUCCAGUGUGAAGAUCUGAUGACAAGGUUCACAAUGUAGAAGUAAUGUGAAAAUCUCAGCAGUCUCAGACUUAAAAGUAGGUAAUGUUCCUCAAGGUAGUUUUAGGCUACCUUACAUACAACAGAGGUUUCACUUUUCUUAAAAUUCUCUUCAAUUCAAAAACCCUAUUUUGAUUUCUGUUUCUGAGAUUUCAUUCUCCUUCUCCCUUUUGUGACAGUUAAGAUUGCUACUCUUGGGUAGCACUGAGACAAGUUACUUGAGGUAGAAGAGGGGCAAAAGUGAGGAAAACUGUUACAGACUGGGGUAAUUUAGAGCACUAAGUAAUGUAUUAUCCUCAUUUUACGGAGAGGCAAACAGGUGUGAGCCAAGGAGGAAAUUCCAGAUUAAGACAGUAAUGAGGGAAGCACCAUUCACAUAAUGUAGAGAUUCUUUGUAUCUUAGUAUUUAAAAGGUCUUUUGAGCAUCUCGAGCUUUGAAUACUACAUAAAAUCUCUUCUCCAACAUACCCAGAAUACUGAGAUAUACAAUUACCUUAGGGCCAUUUGCUGUAAUGAACUGCCACUGGGGAGAGACAUCAUAAGAUCAGAGAUAGUUUGAAGUAAGCGGUGAAAUGUGUGUGGUAAAGGAUGAGCGGCUUCACCCGCAAUCACUAUAUCUGAGAGUGGAUGUUCGCAUACUCUUGUGUCUUUCUCCUAAGACAGAAAUUGAAAGCAGGUUGAUCAGUCUGUAUGCUGGAAGGAACUUUCCCCACAAAAAAAUACGUAUACUUAAAAGUGUUAUGUAUACUUUAAAGACAGUCAUGUAACAGAAAUGUAAACAAUAAAACCAAAAUCAAAGCAUACCCAAAACACAUAUUCAGAUUAACUAAUUAUGUUUGUAUUAUCUUUUAGGGAAAAAGUGAUGCAGUCACUCAUAAAUAAAAUCACCAAACGAAUACUGUAUCUGUAUCAAUUUUAGUGUGCUCACAGUCUCCUAGCAGGGUAACUCUAAACGUGUAUGCAGGAACUAAGUCUCACCCAAACUGCUGACCCACAGAAUUGUCAGCCAAUAGGAAACUGUUUUCAUCCAUUGAGUUUUAGGGUGGUCUGUUAUGCAGGAAUAUUUAGUUGUGAAAGGUGUGAAACAAUCUCACACUGUAAUUGUGGAUGUUUUUUUCCCUCUUUUUCCUUGCAGUUCUGUCAAUUCUUACUUAGUAUUUUUAAGGCUAUAUGAUUAGAUACAUACAUGUUUAGAAAAUGGUUUUUGUAGAAACCAUUUUCAUCCCUAUUAAUAAUUUCGUCUUAAGAGCUAUAACCACUUUCAUGUCCCUACAGAGUAUCACUUUCACUCUCUGCCAACUUACAGCAAUGUUGUAGACAGAUAUUCUCUAUAAUAAUGUUGCCCUGUUUACCUGUCUUAUACAGUACUAUAACAGUAUACAUCUUUCAGCUCAUUGCUUCAUGACAAUAGUAUUUAGGGAGGAAUCAGUCACUAAGUAUAGUGACUACGUUGCUCGAUAGCACUGAAAUUUUAUUCUUGCCUUUUAGCUUAUAUAAUCUGUGUGUGAACUCAUGCAUAUUAUUAUAGGAUUUGAAGGUGGUCCUACUCUUCUAUAAAAAUAUAGACAAAUUUGAAAAACCCAAAAAUCUCACUUACUUGUUCUGCAUUUUCUUUGUUUGUUUUAUUUUCCUCAUCCUCUUCUUCCUCUGGUUCCACUGGAGCAGGAGUCAAUGAUGCCACAAAAUGCCACAGAAUAUCAUGUAGAGAAGUCGUCUGGAUGACAUUACACAGAAGCCAGUUGAAAGCCUGAAUAAAUGAAGGUUAAAUGAGUCAAAGAUAAAAAAAAAAGGUGGGACUAAAAACUGCAGAACCCUCCUUACUCAGAAACAAAGUAUCUCCACUAAGUGUUUCAAGGAAAGAUACUAAAAACAUCUGACCUUCAUUUCAUUAAAAACACAAUGAACUUGAAAUAGUCAAUAAUUUUGGUCCGGAUUAAAAACAUAAUAGGGAAAAUAAUAUCUAUAAAAUGUAAUACAGAAAUAUUUUUUCAAACCACUUUUUAUUUCAAACUUUCAUCUUCAUAUUAAUUUGCUGAAGCACAUUUUUCCCCAACUUGUACUUCGGAUAAACAGCUUUUUUUUCAAGCUCUACCAAGCUAUCACUAACUUAAAUAUAUUUAUAUUGUUCCCAUUAAUCAAGUGGCAGUUUAUUUAUUAUAAUGCCCAUGACAAAGACAAAAGAUUUACUAUACAUAAAAAUACAACAUCUAGCGACCCUGUCAUUUCCAGAGAAUAGACUCAGAAAAAUUAUUAUGGUUAAAUUUAUAACUGAAAAGCUCUACUUUUCAUCCCUUUUCAUGAUUCUUCUAACUGAAACGACAUCAUCAUUACAAAAGCUUUUUAAAAAGACAUUCACAGCUUUCAAAUAAUAAAGCAGUGCAGAAAUAAAUUUCUUCAGAGUGCUUAAAGAUGGAUCUCUAAAUUCAUUUAUAUUCAUGAACAUAAGAGUUUAAUUUUGAUGUGAACAUUUGAUAUUUUCGAUUGGCUAAUGUCUCUUAAUUUUUGGAAAUUUCUGUUGGGUAGAAAAGUAAUAUCAUUAAAUAGAAUCAUCAAAUGAUUUGUAUGGUCAAGGAAUCAAUAACCCCAUUUAAUGUAUUCAUACCUCCAUAGCAAAAACUCGGCAAGCAGAUUUCCUUAGGGCCUGUUUCAUUGCUAUUUCAAGACCUUCUAGAUCAUGAUGUUGUAUAACAAAAGCCAAAACUGGCCACUGGAAAUUUCGUUCUCCUUUGGAAAGAGAGCUGUGGGCUGAGAUUAGCCGGGAAAGCUCAGGAGAUGGAUGUCUCAAGAGGGAAGAACCAACUUCUAUUUAUUGGAAAAAAAAAGAAAAAAUAACUUUCAUAGGCAAUAUAUACAAUUAACAUAUUUACAAUGUUAUUAAAGAUAAUAGUAUCUAGCUGAUUCAUUAUAGAAUCUUUGAAGCUUUUUGUUUUGUUUUCACAUGUGACACAAAUCAUAGCCUCAAUUUUUACUGAGGCUGAGUAGGAUUAAAUAUCUCACUUUCAUAAAAUCAUAUAGCUAUUAAAUUGUGGAGCUAAGUUUUAAAUCAAGGGCUGAAUCUAAAGUUCAUGCUUUCUAAAAUGCUCUAAAAGAUAACUGUAUUUUUUCCCCCUAAAUGGAAUCUACAGAAGUUACAGAAUCAUCUGUCUAUAAAUAUUAGACCAGAUCUUCAUUUUAGUUAAGUGGGCUACCUGAUAAAUCAUCACCAUGUUAUCCUUUUCUCUUGGGUUUCUUUUUUUAUUCUUGACACAGAAUCAGGCAGCCCUGAUUUGGAGCUGUUGAUACCAACUAGUCCAGGUUGUCUAACUUUUUUACUGAUUAAGAGCUACUUAUGUCCCCAAAUUAUCUACUCAGAGAGGAAGCAGCUGCAAGGGGUAUAUAUAAGCUUCUAUUAGGAGUGAGAAUAUAACUGUGAAAGUGUAAGUCACUGCAACUACUAGUUCACUGAAGCUUAGUGGAAUAGCUCAUGACAGCAACAUUAACAAGUAAGAUUUUAAAGGUCAAUUUAUUCUUGAAAAAUCAAUCACUGGAUGGUCUCUAAGUGUGUCUUUCAACUGAAAUUGAAAACUUAGAGAGGCACAAUUAUAGCUUCAUAAAAGGAACGUCAACCACGAUUUAAAAUUAAUCCAUUUCUGGGGCUCCUGGGUGGCUCAGUCAGUUAAGUCUGACGUUGACUCUUGAUCUUGGCUCAGGUCACGACCUCAGUUUGUGAGUUAGAGCCCUGCAUUGGGCUCUGUGCUGGUAGCAUGAAGCCUGCUUGGGAUUCUGUCUCUCCUUCUCUGUUCCCUUCCCCCUCUCAUGCGCUCUCUUCUCUCAUGCAUGUUCUCUCUCAAAAUAAACUUAAAAAAACUAAUCCAUUUCCUUUCAAAAACUAGAUGUUAAAAAAUACCUGCAAACAAAAUCAUGUGGACCACUGAAUCUUCCUUUUUAUCUUUAUACUUACCAGUGUCUCCACUGUUAACUCUUCUUCUAGGAAUGGCUUUAACUCGUGCAGGUAAAAUGGAGUGUUGUUUAUCAUAUUCAGAAGCAACAACUGAGUAUGAUCUUUGGAAGACAGUUCUCUUUGCAAGAUCCGUAUCAGUUAUGGGACUAGUUUCCAAACUGUAGACAGAAGAUGAUGACAGGUAAAAACAGGAGAAAAAGUGAAUAAAGUGAAACUAUAUUCACUUUAUGACAGUGUAGUCAAAUAUAUGAACCUACCUCUCAUGUGGAAAAACACAAAUUCAAAGCCAACUUGACAAUUUCUCUUUAAAUCACCAUUUGAUCUUUCCAAAAGCAUUAACAUUUUGAUUGAUUUUAGAAUUGCAUCUUAAAAGUUUUGGUUUUCUUAAAUCUACUUUGCAUUUUUACAUGAAAAAGAAGAAAAGGCAUUGAAUGUGCUAAACUCCUUUCAGAAUCACAACAUUGUGGUAGAAGUUAUCUGUCACGAUAUUCAGGAAAACCAGGCAGAUAUAUUUGUAAGAGCACUGAGUAGAAAGAAAAUGGAUCUGUACAUACAGAAAGCUAAUAAAAUGGAAAGUGAAACAGUUCAAUGUUCUCUCUGUACUUGAGUGCUCAAUUAGGUUUCUCAUUCUUGGGAAGUGGUGCCCAAAGACUUUUCAACAGCAUGGCCAUACUAAGUUCAACAAAAGGUAACAAAUGGAUUUUUGGCAUACAGUUAUACUGACAUUCUAGAACAAUUCAAUGAUUUUCACUCAGGUUUAAGUAAACUAAAAAUUUUUCUAUUUACUAUAGCAACAUUAAAAAAAUUCUUGAAGAAAAUUAUACAGUUUAAAGUGUAAAAAAAAUUCUUGAAGAGUUAUUAAUAUGGUUAUAUAUUUUCCUUUACUGAGGCAUUUUAUAAAAAAAAGAAAUACCUUCCUUUACCUCCUAAGACAAAUUUACAAGCUAUUGUUUUCAAUGUAUUCUUUUUCCUGUUACUUCUUUCCAAACAGGGACAUUUGUGCUUACUGGGAGUUCUGCGUUUCUUUUCCCCCAUUCAAGACAGGUUUGAAUGCCUAUGUUCCUCAGUAAAGCUUAUACAUUUUCUAGGAAGUAGCUAACUCCCUCCCUGGCUGUUUUCUUCACUCACCACCUCUUUAAGUGUGUGCACACUCUCAUUUGAACAGGCUAUAAAUACUGUAUAUAACCCAUGGGGGUAAAUGUGCCUGGACGUCAGCUUGGGCCAACAGCUUCCAGAAUGACCAGAGAAUAGGGAUAUGUUAAUUUUAAUUCACCUUAUAAAUGGUGUUACUAUAAAAUUCAAGACAUUUAUUAUGCUUUCAGAGGAAGUUUAUCCAACAACUUGGAAAAAAAAAAAAAGGAUUGUUAUAUAACCUAAAAAAAUAACGACUCGUUCUUAUAAAAAUGAUCAUGCCUAUAAAAAAAAAAAAUUCAAGCAACACAAGAAAACCAAAAGGAAGUGAAGAUGACCAUUAACAACGGUGGCUACUUUGCAUCAGGUAAUUCCUUGUUGUGGAGGGCUGUCUUGUGUACUGUAGGAUGUUUAGCAACAUUCUUGACUUCUACACACUAGGAUGCCUGUUGAAAUAACCCACUUAUGACAAGCAAAAAUGCUCAGAUGUCACCUGAGAGGAAAAACCAUCCCCUUACCCCUCACUGAGAACCACUGAUUUAAUCGAGUCAUUAUUCAUCAACUUUGUAACAGCUUGAGUUGGUCAAGACGUUUUAAAAGAAUAGCUCAAAAAUGCUAUAUUCCUGAAUUACCAUAUGCUUAAAAUUUCUCAACCUGGCUGAAUAUAAACACUUGAAUCAGUUUCUUUUAUUUAAGAUUUUAUGAAAAUUACCCUUAUGUGUAAAGUAUAUAUAGUCUUUUAAACAUGCUUUUUAGAACAUGCAUUUGAUUCCUUUGAUUAAUCCACAAUUUAGUUCUAAGAUUCCCAAGAUCUUUUAUAUUUCAGUUUGUCUGACUGACUGGGUAAAAUUUUUAAGGUAGUAUUUUCUUUCUUUUGAAGAAAGAGACAUUAUUUCACUUUUUUUUUCAUUCAAAAUUGUUAUACAGAAGUCUGAAUUCAGUCUAACUUUUCCCUUUGCAAGAUGACUUCUUUUUGUUUUUAAGUUUAUUUAUUUAUUUUAAGAGAGACAGAGAGGGUGUGAAAGGGGAGGGACAGAGAAAGAGAGGGAGAGGGAGAAUCCCAAGCAGGCUUCGUGCUGCCAGAGCAGUGCCCAAUGCAGGGCUCGGACCCACAAAUGGUGCGAUCAUGACCUGAGCUAUAAUCAAGAGUUAGAUGCUUGAUCAACUGAGCUACCCAGGUGCCCUGCCAUUUGAAGUUGUUAUACAGAAGUCCAAAUUCAGUCUAACUUUUCCUUUUACAAGAUGACUUCUUUUUCUGUGCUCAGUUACUUGAAAACUUCUAGUGUUUUUUUUCUUUGUAUUUCAAUAACUUAAGCUAUUUUUUUUUCAACCUAAGCUAUUUCUCAUAGUUACCUGCUAUAAAAAUUUCCUUUUAGUCUGGAAAUACAAUACUUUAUUAUUUUGGAAAUUUUUUCUUAUAUUAUAGCUUUAGUUUUUUUUUUUUAAUUUUUUAAAUGUUUUAAUUUAUUUUUGAGACAGAGAGAGACAGAGCAUGAGCAGGGGAGGGGCAGAGAGAGAGGAAGACAGAAUCUGAAGCAGGCUCCAGGCUCUGAGCUGUCAGCACAGAGCCUGAUGUGGGGCUUGAACUCACAGACAGUGAGAUCAUGACCUGAGCUGAAGUCGGACACUCAACCGACUGAGCCACCCAGGCGCCCCAAUACAUUUUCAAUUUUAUUGAUUGGUUUUUCUACUUUAAAGAUACCAUUUGAAUUGUCUGGUUUCCAUACCUGUUAUCUUCAUUCUAACUGCUAUAAUUUCUUUGUCCUUUUACUUUGUACUGUGAUUAUCUCAAACUUUUUCUUCAUGUCAAUCAUUCAAUUUACUCUUCUAAACUUUUCUAAUUUAUUAGUCUUACAAUGGUGUUCAUUUGGUCUUCAGUCUGUCCUCUUAGCUCUGUGAUAUCUUCUUUUUACUCAUUCUGCUUUUUAUCUCAUUCUCAUACUGUUUCAUUAAACUUAUGUCAUUAUCACAUUUCUCGGUACUAGAGUACUUACAGAAAUGUUCUUUUUUUCCUUGAGAGAGUUUUCUUUCAGAUUGGGUUCUUCCUCUGACUUUCAUUACAUACUAUCUAUUUUACUUUUGGUAAUAUUUUAAGGGGGCAGAUCUGUCUAGGUCUUCUGUUUGUUCUGAUAAAGUAUCGGUGGAUUUCCCGAGACUUCCUUUUCCACACUAUUUGAUACCAAUUUUUUUUUUUUUUCUCUCCCAGAGAAAACUUGAGAUUUUAUUGCAUCCUCUAUACCAGGAACCAUCCCACUGAGUGCAUGUUUAUCCCAUUUCUGCGCAGCAUUCCCUGGCACCUUAGAUUGUUGCUUUGCUUCAGCAUGGAGCUCUGGGAAAUAGGAUUCCCUAGAUUUCCACUUUCUUCUGUGACACUAGUGAUGAUACUAGGGGCUCCUAUGCUAAAGGAAUUUACUUUGACUAUGAUAUUCUACGAUACACAGAAUAUUCUAUGAUAGUCUAAGAUACAUGGAACCUUCAUUUCAUUGUCUUUACCUAGAAGUUUACACCACUUGAUUUUGAUCCUAAAGAGUAAUAAUAACCCAACGAAUCACAUUUAUCAGACUAGUCUCAAAAUGGUUUCUAACUCUUAAAAAAAAUCUAUCUCCUUUAGAGAUACUUUAUUAUCUUUAUAGAUAUAAAAGGCUAUACUGUACUCUUUGGAGAAAACUUCAAAAGCAGCUAAAAAAAAACCUCUGAUGAAUAAUCCACACAGUUGGAGGGAAAUAUUACAAGUAUUUUCAGCGGAAAAUAUAUUCAUUUGGAUAUAUAAGUUCUAUUGUGUGUAUUAAAAUAUCCACUAUAUUAGUUUAUAUUCACAACCAUAUAGUAUUAACACAGUGGCAUAUCUUAAUAAGCAUAUUCUUUCUUCCUUCAGCAAAUGUCUUCCUUCCCAAUAAUAAUGUGUUUGCAAUUACUCAUACCUGAUAUCUUGAUGCUAUACUAAACUUAUCCUUUUUCAGUUAGCCACGCUGAUUUUUCCUAUCAAGUAUUUCUUUUAUCCAUCUUUUUUCCCCAUAAUCAUUGCUAACACAAUCCAACUUCAUACAGUUAGUGGAAAUCUUUGACUAAAUUUAUCAGCUUCUCAAUUGACACUGUGAGACUAUCCUUGCAUUUUUAUCACAUGGUUCCUCCUCCAAAAAGUUGCGGUGGUACCCGAAUUCCCUCUGCAUUAUAUUUAGAUGCUUCUAGUCAGUUUUCAGGAGGAUCUUUACACUGAUGCUACCAUAGCUAAGUGAGGGGGAGGAGAACACUGUAUGCAAUAAUCCAGGAAGUUCAAGAUCUAUUUUUGGUGCUACCUCUUCCGUGAAACCUAAAGGCACCGCCUCAAAGUGACCUUUCUCUAGUCUGACUUACUACGGCACUACAUGAUACAAUAUAUAAUGGAACUUUUUACUUCAUUUAGUUGAUCUUUUCUCUCCAACUAGUCUGCCUCUGCUGUCAAGGACUAUGCCUCAUUCAUGUAUGUAUGCUUUUUCUUACUGCUCUAAUAGUUAGCAGAGCUGACUUAAUGUCUUUCUUGAGAUGGACAAAUAUAUAAAAGAACUUCUAAAGCAUUCUUUUCUAGUUCAGUCUUUCUCCCACCACCAAACACUGGCUAUUCAACAGAGAGGAGAGAAGUGAAAUACCUUGGUGGCAUAGAUUUCAUAUUGCUCUCUGGCUCUUCAAACACAUUAGGACUUGCAUCAGGUGUUACGGAUAUGUAUGGGGCAGGUACAGAUGUUGAACGUAGAUAUCUCAUUUCAUCCUGGAACAGGUUGUCAUCUUGAUAGCCCACAAAGUUUUCGUGAUGAUGCCUGCAUUAAAUUAAACCCAGUAACUUCAAGUAUGAUGGCACCAUAGAUAUUUUUCAUUUUUAAUCUCUUUCAUAAAAGAAAAGUAGCACAUGUAAUUCUAUAAGGGUAAAGUAUUAAAAUAAUUAUAGAUAUAAGUAGGAGGAAAUAAAAGUCGGACAAUUUCACACAUAUAUAUUCUAGGUGCCACAAAUAGGUCAAAUCCAAAAUUGAACUCAUUUUCUUUCCUUUUGAGAACUUUCCAACCUCUGGUAUCUUGAUGAAUGAUCCCACCAACUAACUAUCCAGGUGCCUAGGCCAAAGUACCUUGGUACUGUGGUAGGCCUAGUGCUCAACUGUGACCAGUCAUUCAUGCCUAUGAUUACUAGGCUUCCUCUCUGCUGACUCCAUCAUCGUUGCCUUGGUUCAGGCUCAUGUUUCUUGAAUGGGCUACUGAAAUACAGUCAGUCACGUUUUUGGUAGGAAGAUGUGUAAGAGUCAAAUUUGAGAAAAAUUAGACCCAAGAAAUGUUACAUCGGGGGGUGGGGGUGGGUUGUGGGUGUCCAUUUCCCAGAGGGCUAAAAAUAUAAAAUCCAUAAUUAUGGUAAAAUGGCAUUUUUGGUUUUUUACAUGUUUUACAAUUUGGUUCUUUCCUUUUCAAACUGGAACGAGUUGUUGACCUAGUCUACUAAGUGGUCUGACUGAAGGUCAAGUCUCACAUCCUCAUUUUGUUUUUCAUUCAUUUUGUUAAAAUAGUAAUUACAAAAUUAAAAAAAAAAAAACACCCUGGUAUAAUUUUGCUAUGGAGAGGGCAACACUGCCAAAAAUGGAACUGUUGGUUAGCAAGCCAUUCCUGUAGGCAAUUUGUAGAAAUCUUCAUUCAUCAGCUGUUGAAAAAAAACCUGAACCUCAUAUAUGAAAGGCCAUUUACAAUGUCAGGAUAUAAUGUAUGGAAGUAUAGGUCAUACAACUCAAGUCCAAUAUAGGAAAUGGUAUACAACAGGCUUCUCUCCACCUUCAGUGAUGCCCUUUAUGAAGUUUCCAUGUUUGAAGCAGAGUGAUAGUCUAACUGCAAAUAAGUUCAUAUAUUUCCCUGUUUGAUAUUCCUUAACUGUUCUUCUUGUCCAUGGGAUAAAAUCCAACUUUAGUAUGGGCUACACAGCCCCAUAUUACCUGGUCUUAGGUAACCACUUCUAGGGUAUUUCAUCUGUUUCUCCUAGUGGCCAAUGCUUUAACCAGCCUCUGAUUCCUUAAAUGUGUAAUGCUAUUUCAUGUGUGUCUUCACACAUGUGUUUUACUCUGAGGAGUUGCUGUCCUCCAUCACCUACUUGAUGGAUUUCUAUUUAUCUUUUAAGACGGCUACAGUGUCAGAUCCUCUGGGAGACCUUUCCCGAUCUCCUUGGGAAGAUUCAGGUAGUCUCCCUCUUUUAUGCUCUAACAGCAUCUCUUCAUACUUCUAUUAUAGUACUCCUCACAAAAUAUUUUGAAUGUUUUCUUUACGUGUAGGUCUGUCUUUCCACAGAGUGUGAGCACACAGGAGUCAGGAUUUUAUUACAUUCAUCUUGGUGUCUUCAAAGUCUAGCACAAAGCUGAUACCCAGCUAACUAACAUUUAAAUGCUAACAGAAUGAAUAAUGUAAACAAUGAAAGAUUUUGAGAGCAAAUUGUUUCUUUCCACUUUAACAUUCCCAACUAGUAACAGACUGAAGUCAGCUUACCAAAAAGUAAAAGACAGCUAAAGUCGUAUUUCCUAAGACAUAUUUUGUAUUGAUAAUACAAAUUGAUAUAGUACGUACAUUUUUUUUUUUUUUAAAUACUUACUACCAUAAAGUGUGUACCCUACCAGUCGUAUGUUGGUCAAGGCAAUUCCGAAAAUAAAUUCCUGGUGGUCUCUUUAUUGUAUACAAUAGAUAAUGCAGUGUGGGUAUUCAGAGCAGGAUAUUAAUCAACAAUGGCUAUUAAUCCCAAGUGAUUAAAAAAAAAAAAGAAAACCAACCACCAAGUUAUAUUACCUAGCUAAUGUCUGCAAGUAGAGACAAGGCAUUUUAACAGGAAGAUCUUCAGAAAUGCCCUCCUUCACGCUGGGAAGCUGAGACUGAAAUGGCUUUGCAGGAUGGUAACACAGAAUGCUUGGCUCUGCGGCACUGCUCAGGGACAGCAGGAACAGCGCGUUUGCUUUAAUCACUUGGUGAGCUUCCAUGGUGGGCAAGGCACGAGGAGUCUUGACUUGCAUUGGCUUCCUCCUGGACUGUUUGACCUGGCGAAGAAAAAUUUGUUGUAGUAUUCAAAUCAUAUUCAAAUUUUCAAUUUCUUAACCUAAAUAUUUUGAGUUUCUAAUAAAAAUUAUUAAACAUUUAUAGACCUAUUUUAAAAUAAUAAUAGUGAUUACCAAAAAGAACAUUCACUGUAAGCUUUUCUUGAACUGUCUGCAACUUUUAUUUCAAACACAAACUAUUUCUUUUCUUUCCUUGGGAAAUCAAGAAAACCUAACUAGUAAAAUCUAAAUGUAAUUAUUUUUUUUAAAAAAGAGUAAAUGUGUGUGUGUGUGUGUGUGUGUGUGUUCUGCAAAUUUUUACUUGGGUGUGCUUCUAGUUUCCAUGAGACCUACAGCAUACUUAAGGAUUAAGAAAAAGAGAGGGGGUAAAGAGAGGAAAAGGAAAAGGGUUCAGAGAGAUAAAGGUGAAAUGGAAAAGCAAUGCAUAUGUGUAGAGUAAUAGAUAAUUAAUAAUAAAGAAUUACAUGGAAAACAAUUACAAAUAAGGCAUAUGUGCUGCAUAUGCAUAUGCAUAUCUUGACAUAUGCCAAGAUACAAUUUAUUUUUGUAAUUAAAAAUAGCUAACCUAGUACAAAUAUUAGAAUUGUAUAUCAUUCCUAUUAUAAAAGCUGAUCUUUGAUAUCAACUAGGUAGAAUUAUCUGAUAUAGUACGAUAAUUAAAAGGGAUUUUUACAAGAUUUUCUUAUCAUUAAUAGUAUCGUCAGAACCAAAUAAAAAUACCUUCUCCCUUGCAGCAGCCUGUUUUUCACGGAGGUAUUUUUCUCUACAGCGAUCACAGACUAGAUACCAAGUGCUUCCUCCUAUGCCACCAUCACCACAGUUACCGGCCCAUCCUCCACAAAAAUGCCCAAUGCUAUUGUAACCUUGUCCACCAGCAUACCGGCCACAACCUUCAAACAAGAGCAAAAUUAACACUUUAAGUUCCCUUAACAAUCUGACACUUAUAUAUGAAUGACAGAUUCACCUUCUCAAAGUAAGCAAAAUAUUGAAGCAGGUAUCUCACUUUUUUUUCCCCCAGGCUGUUAACUGCAUCAGAAAAAUAGCAUUGGCAAAAAAUGAUUAAACAGUACCUAAAAUACUGGAGACACUCUAUACAGGUAGAUGAAAAGAAAUUUAAGAUGUGGGUACAUUUAGGCUUACUGACAUAUGCCAAGAAAAUUGGACAAAAUAAAUAUAAGAUAUUCUGUAAGAAUGAUAUAUUUUAAGGAACCUUGUAUUUUAUAAAACAUUUCAGGUGUAAUAUGUAAAAAGAAAAAAGGUUUAACCAAACUCCUAAUAGGUGAAUUUUGGAAUAGUCAUCAAGUGUUAUAGAAAUCCUUGUAUUUAUCUAAAAUACAAUCUUCUGAUUUAAUAGUUGAGAUCACUUCUAUAGGAAAAUGCUCGAGGAAAUUAGUAUAAUCUAAUAUAAUUUGCAAUUUUUAUUAGGAAAAUACUAAAAUUGAAGGAGACCUAAUACUGGGAUAUUUCCUAUGUGUAUGGACAUGUCAUUAUUUCUUUUGUGUGAGACACCUUAAUAGCACCCUUUGGGUCACAUAUAAAGCAUUAAAAAAAUCAAGUGUUUCCGAAUGGGAUACAUUAAAACGCAAUUGCACUAAAUUACCACCUUACUGCUACAAUUUCUUUAGCUGUUUUCCUCAACACCGAUAUUGGUAAUGCACUUUAAAGUUUCCCUGUACUUUAACAUAAGUUAUAGAGCAGCUCAAGUUAGAAGUUAUUCAGUUCAUUUUUUUACACAAAGUACUUGUAAUAUAUAUUCAGUAAUACUGUUUACCUGGGUGAGCCUGUCGCAUGUGAUAGGUAACGGGGUAUGGAUGGGAUUCUCCACACAGCUCACAGAUGGUGUCUUUCUCUGGUCCUCCGACUGCCAGCUGGGCCAUCUCACCAAACAAAUUACCCCUGGGCCGAACUUCUGUCUUUUCCUUUUUCUUUUUGUCUUUUUUGGCCUUCUUAUUCUCUUUUUCACACUCUUUCUUUUUAAGGACUGCACAAGAACCAGGACUUGGAAAAAUCAUAUUCUGGGAAGCUGCUUUGAUAGUAGCCAAAGAGAUGUCUUCCCAAAAAGCCACUAAAUGUUGUAAAGUCAAAGGAAGAGGAGAUUUGGACUUCAUUGGGUGAUGCAUGGACAUUUCGAAAGUGGCUUCGGUUUUCCCAUCCUCACAUUUUUCAUGCAGAGGUGGUUCUUUAAGCAUAGACAACACCUUAUUUUUGUUGAUACUACCCAUUUUAGAUAUAUCUGGUCCAUGAGGUGCAAUAUUAAACAUAUUCAGUGCAGAUGAUAUUUCCAAUGAAUGUCUAUUUUUUAAUUUGGUUUCCUUUUCUUCUGUAGGCUGUUGGCUGUUUAAACUAUUUCUUAUAGGAGCAUGUUCUUUGGAAAGUUCAGGAUUAAAUUUUAAGAAAGAAGAACAAGCCAUUGCAUCGUGUACUAUGCCUUCAUGCCACAGGAAAGAGGCAAAGACUGCUCUGGCACACUCGGCCACGGAAGGGGACAUGGCUUGCUUGGCCGGCUCUAAAGGUUUGGCUCCAUCCCCUUUGAAGAGAAAGCUGGACUUUUCCUUUUUGGGCCUGGUGUGCCUGUUAGCACACUUUCGACUUAUUUUGGGGGAUGCUCUCAUUUCCUGUUCAUCUUUCAGUGGUGCUUUUCCUAUGCUGAAAUGAACUUUAUUUGAACCUUCAUCAACACUCUUAAAUUCACUACCUUCAUCACAGGUGCUAUCCGUUAGACUAUUUGUUUUUAAAGUACUUGAAGUGCAGACUUCGACCACCUCACUGUGAAGGUUUUCUUGUACCACGUGAGGAGAAGGAGCUCUAUUUUCGGUUCCUGGGGAAUCUUUAGAAUCCUUUGGUACUGGUUUUGGUUUUGGUGAUGUUGAUCGUCCCCUUAACGGUUCUGUGAGGGGCAUUUUCUUCUUGCGUAGGGUAUCUGGGUCAAGUGUGUAAGAGUCUG
rnacentral:lncRNA from 1 species